rnacentral:rRNA from 1 species
AUUGAACGCUGGCGGCAUGCCUAACACAUGCAAGUCGAACGGUAACAGGCCCUUCGGGUGCUGACGAGUGGCGGAUGGGUGAGUAAUACUUAGGAAUCUACCCUGUAGUGGGGGACGAACCCGGGGAAACUCGGGCUAAUACCGCAUACGCUCUACGGAGGAAAGCGGGGGACCGCAAGGCCUCGCGCUAUUGGAUGAGCCUAAGCCCGAUUAGCUAGUUGGUGGGGUAAUAGCCUACCAAGGCAAUGAUCGGUAGCUGGUCUGAGAGGACGACCAGCCACACUGGGACUGAGACACGGCCCAGACUCCUACGGGAGGCAGCAGUGGGGAAUAUUGGACAAUGGGCGAAAGCCUGAUCCAGCGAUGCCGCG